GGGAUAAAUUGAAAACCAAUCCCCAGCAGGCUAGAGACCCCCAGCAGGCGAUUUUGCCCACCAACCAAUUAUGGGGACAUAGAGCAAGAAAAGGGGAAGAGAGGAAAAAUCAUCCGCCGGAAAGGCACCCUCUACCACCACGAUUAAAACUAACUAAAUCCUUUUGUCUGCUGCAGGAAAACAAAGGAUUGAUAAGGGCAGCAAAACGCAACGCCAGGGAAAUCACAAAAAACCGGGGCAGAAAAUUUUCUGCCAAUUGUCGAAAAUUUUCUCGGAAGAACGGGGAAACAAUUUCAAUACAUUUAAGUUCUAGGUCGCCCACCAGUAUAAUGCGGGAAUACUUUUAAGUUCUAGGUGCCCACCAGUAUAAUGCGGGAAUACAUUUAAGUUCUAGGUCACCCACCAGUAAAAUGCGGGAAUACUUUUCAGUUCUAGGUCUCCCACCAGUAAAAUGCGGGAAUACAUUUAAGUUCUAGGUCACCCACCAGUAUAAUGCGGGAAUACAUUUAAGUUCUAGGUCGCCCACCAGUAAAAUGCGGGAAUACUUUUAAGUUCUAGGUCACCCACCAGUAUAAUGCGGGAAUACAUUUAAGUUCU
rnacentral:lncRNA from 1 species